AAUCAUCAACUCUCGCUUUCUUGAUUGAAGGCCCGAGAUUGGACUUGGAGGCUUUGCCGGUCUUAGGAUCGGCUCCUCUUAAAUGUAUCAGUGCGACUCACGUGCCUUUGGUGUGAUAAAUAUCUACGCUUCUGGUCACGUAGUGAGGAGUGCUUCUAACCGUCCUUCAGCUGGACAAUUCAUGAA
rnacentral:misc_RNA from 1 species